CGGUCCGACGAGCACACAAGUGCUCUUAAAAGGGAGUAAGAUCUCAAGUGGCAGCUGGAAUUUUUAGAUGUUCAGGCUUAGAAGCCCUCAGCUGUAGAGGAAGGAAAGUGUCUCUGUGAGGAGCAAGGGGUGCUGAUGAUUGCAGGAGAGCUGAGACAGAGGGACAGGAACAGACGCGGAAUUUCUCUGCCGAGAUUUUUUUCCAGUGGGAUCCACGGUGGAUAUUUUUAAAUGCCCGGCUUAUUCCGUGACCUGUUAAAAUCAAGUUGAUGUGCGUGUGCUCCACUCAGCGGAGAACUCGCCGGAGAUGGAGCAAUUCCUCUGCACUCUGGAAGAAGAGACAAGAGCACGCUCUGGAAGCCUUUAUGAGGAGGCUUUUAGAAGCCAUUUUGAAAAGCCAGUCGUUAUCCUUCGGUGUUUUGGAAGUCUGGACUGGACCUCCCAGGUGAUAUUAGGAUUGACACCACACCCGUUUUAUGGCGGGCGGCUGCACAGCCUCCAUCCUGCCGCGUGACACGGGAACACAUGUCCCUGUCAGCGGGCAGGAGGGAAUGAGCCACAUCCACUGGCCACACCCCAGCGGCACCAGUUGGACUGGGGUGUGUGAGGCUGCGGUGCCCUGCAGGUGCCCUGGAGCUGCAGCAUCCUCCUGGGAGACACACACUGGGGCACCUCCAGGUGCUGGUGGUGACACAGGAAGCACAGGAAGACACAGUGUCGAGCCUCAGCCAGAAGCAUCAACAUCAGAGAUCAUGGGAAUUAUUAAUCAGCUGAACUGAUCCUAUGAAUUUUUCACCAGUUCUGAGGCUCUGGACCAUCCUAUCCAAUACUACAGGUCUCAGUUCUCUCCUCCGUGCAUCACUCUGCUACUCAGUGAGUUUUAAGGGAAACCAAUGUGAGCCUGGGUCACACAGCUUGGGAAAGGUUUUGCAGAGCAUGUUCUAGAGUGACAUUUGGUCCCCGGGGAGGCCUGUGAGUUGCCAGACUCCUCCCGGGUGAUGGAGUUCCCUGCACUACGUCAGCCAACCCCCCCAGAUGUUCUGAGCAGAUGCAAAACAUGCUCUAAUGGACAUGAGGAACUGACUCGGAGUUACUGACUGCGAGUGCAAGGACGGGUUUCACUUCUGCUCUGGGAACAAGUGGGACUUGCCAAUAGUGCAAAGCGUGUCACUGUGGUGACCCUCUGUGCGAUAAUUCUCUAAGGAGUGGCAGUUCCAUGGAAACACCGUGUUCUGCUCUGCCCUGACCUGCCCCAGAGAGCUGAGGGGCACCUGGGGACAUGGCUCAGUGGUGAACCUUGCGCCGUGAGGGAACCUUUGGACUGGGUGAGGGCUUUUCCAAGCUACCCCAUCCUGUGAUUCCGUGACUCCAUGACUCUCUGAGGACACGCUGCUGUUUCCCACAUGGCUGUGCACAGAUGCUGCCAGGUGUCCCCUGCCAGCCGGGCCCUGGCAGAGCCUCAGCUCACCAGGAAUGAGAGAAGGUGACAGAAUAAAAGUAGGGGGAAACCAGUUGGUCGGUGCUUUCUGUUUGCCUCCUCUUGGCUAACUGCUAGACACAGUAAAUAGGGAAUUAGGGGCUUCUCAAUAUGUAUAUUUUUUUAUGUAAGUGCUUGGGGAUUUCAGGUCCUGGGCUUGUCUGGGAACACAGUUUUUCUGGGCUUACUGAUGCAGCCAUGAGCAAUAACCUAAAUUGCAGUUUUUACUUGAAGUUUUUACAAUGUCACCUUCUCCUGGAGGAAGUUUAGAAGGGAAGGGAACUGUGACGUGUGGUUACAUUGUGGUGUUUGUGUGUGUCCACACAGGAAAUUGGAACAGUACCUGUAGUGCCAGAUUCCUGUUGGCAGAAGAAGAAAAUACCUGCUUCCUCCUUUUCCAGAGGUGGUUGGUGGUCGGUGUUCCUCCUACCUGGGCUGUGUCCUCAAGCACAACUAUUCUUUUUGUACGUAAAUCUUAACAUUCCCUUGAUGUGAAACACUCGGUGCUGCCGUUCCUUGAACACUCCCCCUGACUUAUUCAAGGAAUAACAUUUGUUUAUCCCUGAGAAGAUACAAACAGAAUGCUUAGGGGG